rnacentral:rRNA from 1 species
UACGAAGGGUGCUAGCGUUGUUCGGAAUUACUGGGCGUAAAGCGCGCGCAGGCGGCUUGCCAAGUCAGAGGUGAAAUCCCAGGGCUUAACCCUGGAAUUGCCUUUGAAACUGGCUAGCUUGAGUGUCGGAGGGGAUAGCGGAAUUUCUAAUGUAGCGGUGAAAUGCGUAGAUAUUAGAAGGAACACCGGUGGCGAAGGCGGCUAUCUGGACGACAACUGACGCUGAGGCGCGAAAGCGCGGGGAUCAAACAGG